rnacentral:rRNA from 2 species
GGAUGCGAUCAUACCAGCACUAAAGCAUCGGAUCCCAUCAGAACUCCGAAGUUAAGCGUGCUUGGGCGAGAGUAGUACUAGGAUGGGUGACCUCCUGGGAAGUCCUCGUGUUGCAUUCCC